rnacentral:lncRNA from 1 species
GUUAGCUAGACCAGUUCUAGGUAGGCAAGAUUUUAGCUCUAAAAUACAUUAAGAUGUUGAGAAAUACAGGCUUUUUCUUGAGGGGGGGGGGUUAGGGAGCUAAUAGCUUAAAUUCUGAUUCUGUGGAUUGUUGGGAGAGUACAGGAAGGAGCCUUCCUAGAAAAGCAUCAUCUCUCACCAGACAAGAAAGUAUUCUGGGAUCCAUCCUGGGAGGAGGACAAGCCGCACAUCCCGGGGUGGCUAGCAGCUCUGUCCUGCACUGGCUGGCUGUUUGGUGGAUGCUCCAGUGGCCCAAAGGGAAGAAGUGCAGUACAUCGUCUACAUCUGGCUCCUGUUUUGUGCUGUCCGUGACUUGGAAGUUGAACCAAAGUGAAAAUUUUGUCAUUUCAGCAAUCAAGCUCUGUACUGGAGAAACUCUUGAAGAGAAAAGGGACUCUGAGUUUGCAGCGGGCUCAGGAGAUGGGAAGACUGCAAGGUGGCAGCUGUGA